UUUUUUUUUUUUUUUUUUUUUUUUUUUUUUUUUUUCAAAU
rnacentral:ribozyme from 1 species